rnacentral:rRNA from 1 species
UACGUAGGGGGCAAGCGUUGUCCGGAAUUAUUGGGCGUAAAGCGCGCGCAGGCGGUCAUUUAAGUCUGGUGUUUAAUCCCGGGGCUCAACCCCGGAUCGCACUGGAAACUGGGUGACUUGAGUGCAGAAGAGGAGAGUGGAAUUCCACGUGUAGCGGUGAAAUGCGUAGAUAUGUGGAGGAACACCAGUGGCGAAGGCGACUCUCUGGGCCGUAACUGACGCUGAGGCGCGAAAGCGUGGGGAGCAAACAGG